rfam:Pyrobaculum arsenaticum DSM 13514, complete genome.
GCCGCCGUAGCUCAGCCUGGAAGAGCGCUCUGGGGCGAAGCCCCGCGUACGGCUCAUAACCGGGUUGCCCCGGGUUCAAAUCCCGGCGGCGGCA